CGCGAGUUUUGCAUAAAGCACCACACGGACAAUGUUUUUGAAUCACAGAAACGGUGAUUGAUAAUGAUUCAAGAAAGAGAUACUUAUUGCACCUAAUGGAAAAAGCAGAGUCAAUUAUGUUGCAUUGUCGGAUACAGUAAGUAUUUUGGCAAAUUUAGGCAUGUAUAAAGAAAUGAUGCACUGUAUGAUAUGUACACUUAUGCACUGUAUGAUAUGUACACUAUACACUACAUACUACUUCAGAAGGCUAUUUUGAGAAAGCCUUUAAGUCUUGUGGCGCUUUUAAUAUUGUUUUAUUUGUUUGAGCAGCUCACCAAACCAAUUUGCAGGAGUUUAGGCUUCUUGUCAGCACUUCUUGUUUUUCUGAAGAAUGGGUGACUGAUGCAGUGUUUAAAAACCUGUUUGGAAAUUAUUAUUUUUGCAGUUCUGUUUAGUGCUGUUUAUGCACAGAAAUGACACAUCUUUAGACAUAAUUUACAGUCAUUCUACAUCACACAUCAUAAUGAUACCAAGAGAAUCUUCAUCUUUUCAUCAUUUUUAUUGCUCAUUGCAUUUCAGUAAACAACUACUUUGUUUAUUAGUUUGCUCUGCAGAUGCCGCCUCCUGUAGCUGUCAUCUAUUUGGGAGGCUUGAAAUUUGUUGUUUUAUUGCAGACCUCAUGGAAAAUCUCUUAGAUGUGUUUUUUUUCUCCAUUACUUUUUGUAAAUACCCCUGUCUGUUGUAGUUUAUUUAAAAUUUGUAUAGGGACAUUCAUGUGUCUUUCAAUGCUUCACCUGGUGAAACACAGCCCUGGCAUUUAAUGCCCAGUGAAAGGCAGCACCCUGAAGCAUCUACUCACUGUCCCCAGUGUGGGACUUUGAAGUGCUAUCAGGUUCAACACUGAGGCGGGUGAAUAGGCAAACAGAGCUUUAUUGUCGUAGUGGAGGUUAAGCACAGAAUAAAAGAAUAGUUGAGAUCGCUUGUCUACCUUGGAGCCUGGCUGCCCCAGGAGGAUGGGAGACCGUUCUGGGAGAAGAAGAAGUUCAGAACACAGCCGUGGGUUACCUUGGGUCAGUGCACCCACACACAGACCCGCAUACAGGCCGGGAGGUGUGGUCAUUGCCAUAAUUCCCGCUCUCAGCCCGAGGAUCAUCACCCAAUAAACAGCAAGAAUCUGACUGGUGGUUCAUAAGAACGUUCAGUGUGAAUGACGUAAAAGUUUCACCAAAUGGUACUGAUGCAUCAGCACAGUGUUUUAUAGUGUUCACUAAUUAUCAUACUUGGAUGAAGUUUUCU
ensembl:lncRNA